UUUUCUGUAUGUUUUCACAGCCUCAGCCCCCCCCCCCCUCCACACACACACACACACACACACAAACAAAGAGGCGUUAGGCUGAGACGCUGAAAGUCCGGAUUUAAAGUGCAGAAAAUUAAGCCAUUGAAUCUGCCUGUCCAUGACGUACAAAGACACACUAUGAGCCAGUAUGAUCCGACCAGACCUUACAUCAGCAUUGAGGAGUUGUCGGAGAAGUAAGAGGCUGAUUGAAGCGGGACAGAUGACAUGGAUCCAUCCUUCCACAGCCAGGAGCGCACCGACCUGUGUCCCACACUUCAUAUAAGACUGGAAGCUACACUGAUCUCACAGCUACACACCACAGACGUCUACACACUGGAGAAGAGUCCCACAAAGAAGUCA